UCCGAACACAGGCUAAUCCGAAAGACGCGGUAAUCCGAACGGGCUUGAGAAUUAUCUUAUCGCUAUAUGUAAUAUGUACGUAUGUAUGUAUUUAUAAAUAAUAUUUUCCGGUAAUAACAUUUUUCGAUUAUGUUUGUAAUCGCACGUGUAUGAACGAUGAAAGCUGCGAAGAACUAAUGUUGUUUAGACGUUUUCGGGACAAGGCAUACCAAUCCAUAAUAGAAACCAGUGUACAAAAAAAAAAAAAAAAUCAAUAUCUUAAAUAGUAAGGUUCAUAAUUAUACUCAUAAUUAUAUUAAUAUUUUUAUAUAUUCAUUGUCUUUUGAAAUAACGAGUUUUUACAGAUAAAAAUAAAAUUUCAUAAUUUAAAUUACAAUAAAUUUGAUGUUUUUUUUUUAAGCCAUAGGUAAUCCGAACAAAUCGCUAAUCCGAACGACCCCUUUCCCCAAUCUCCUUCGGAUUAUCGAGACCCGACUGUAAUAUGACAAAGGAUACAAUUUUAAAAAACUAUUAAGGUAUCAUUUGAAGCCAAGAUAUAAUUCAUUGCUUAUUUAGAGUAUUUAAAUUAAUUCGUAUUUAAGUUAAAUAGGUACAUUCAACUAUUCAGGUAUACAUGUUUUUAAGAUAUUUUAAUAAGCCAGGUAGCUUGCUUUGCUGUAUAGUAGAUGUUGAGUAUUAUACGAUGUCAUCACGUUGGUUACUGUAAUGCAGUGAUGGCCAAACUAUGGCCCACAGGCCAACUCCGGCCCGCGAAAGAACUAUAAUAUUUUACAUUUAUGUAAAAAAAAAAAAUUUUCAUUUACGUAAAAAAAGGCUCGCGGUAAAAAGUUUUUUGUUAUGGCCCGAGGUAAAAAAAGUUUGGCCAGCACUGCUGUAAUGGAUAAAUCAUUACCUAUAUAAUAUGAUGAAAAAUGAUUCUAAACAGAAAUCUUUUAAGCAUAUUAUACUUCUUAAGUAAAAAAUAUAAAAAUGUACAAAUAAAUUAUUUACAUACAAAAAAAAAAAAAAAAAA